rnacentral:rRNA from 1 species
GCUUGUCUCAAAGAUUAAGCCAUGCAUGUCUAAGUAUAAGCCUUUAUAUGGUGAGACUGCGAAUGGCUCAUUAAAUCAGAAACUGUUUAUUUGAUAGUGCCUACUACAUGGAUACCUGUAGUAAUUCUAGAGCUAAUACAUGCAUGAACCCCCGACUUUUGAAGGGGUGUAUUUAUUAGAUUGAAACCAAUGCGGGUUCCCCGGUAUUUGGUGAUUCAUAAUAACUUUCGGAUCGACUUCGGUCGAUGCAUCAUUCAAGUUUCUGCCCUAUCAGCUUUGGAUGGUAGGGUAUUGGCCUACCAUGGCUUUAACGGGUAACGGAGAAUUAGGGUUCGAUUCCGGAGAGGGAGCCUGAGAAAUGGCUACCACAUCCAAGGAAGGCAGCAGG